ensembl:lincRNA
UGCAAUUUCUCUUUUAAAUUGAAAAGAUAGUGACAUAUUUCAGACCGCCUGGCCAGCACCCCGCAACUGUAACGUCAGCACCAAAAGCAAUAAUUACCGGUGGUCGUUGCUCGUAUGCGGUGGUGGAAUUCUCCACACAUUCACACACACGUUCACACUCGUACAUAAAUCAUAAAUCCGGUACUUUUCUAAAAUUUUAAACUGCCCUCUCCAUUUCCUGAAUGUUCAAGCUGCCAUUUUAUAAAUUAUCCAGCAGUCUGCAGGUGGGGCAGAGAAAUAAAAUGUCUAGUAACUGUGCACACUUACGGGGGGUGAGAUCCAGUCAAAGGGUUCUCCGAAGACAACGUAACACGCCUUCAUUAAAGCGCUGGAGAUAGAGACCAGUGGCACCCUGUCUUACAAAUCAGACUGAAAGAGACUACGUAACUAACACUACUUUUGAAGUGGGACACCAAAGUGCACAACCCAAACCACUGUUCAUGGGCUUCUCUUUCCAGGCUGGGGCUGGGAAAAACUUAUAUAACGUACCUUUCCAGGAGAGGCUGGGGUGGAAAGGAAAACCAAAACCCAGAAGCACACCCCCUGCAUGCAAGUCCAACCAGGUAAAGGACGUAACUCCGCACCUGAUCUGCUUCCCUACUGCUGCUGCUGGGGACGUGCGACACACAAACAAACUCACUUGGUGUUAGCCAAGCUGGCUCAGGUUUUUCCACUCAGAACCCGCGGCACCGCCGUGACAGCACAGACUUGUCCUAGAGCUCGUUUUUCAGGCUGUCCCUCAAGUUCAGAGGCUGUCCCCCAACAACAACAGCACCCCCUGCUCCUCUCUUAA